rnacentral:tRNA from 1 species
GGUCUUAUAUUCAUAAAAUGAUAUUGGAAUGCAAUUCUAAUGGUGUACAAAAUUAUACUAAGACUU